rnacentral:rRNA from 1 species
GCGAUCAAACCAGAACUAAUGCACCGGAUCCCAUCAGAACUCCGCAGU